rnacentral:tRNA from 1 species
GACCCCGUCGUCUAGUGGCCAAGGACGUUAGGAUUUCCUCCUAAACACGCAUGUUCGAAUCAUGCUGGGGUCGCCA